UAGGGAAUUUUCGUCAAUGGGCGCAAGCCUGAACGAGCAAUGCCGCGUGAACGAGGAAGGUCUUCGGAUCGUAAAGUUCUGUUGAAGGGGAAAAAGAGCGGAGAGAGGAAAUGGUCUCCGAUUGAUAUUACCCUUCGAGGAAGUCACGGCUAACUACGUGCCAGCAGCCGCGGUAAUACGUAGGUGGCGAGCGUUAUCCGGAAUGAUUGGGCGUAAAGGGUGCGUAGGCGGCCUGCUAAGUCUGGAGUGAAAGGUACCGGCUCAACCGGUACAGGCUCUGGAAACUGGCGGGCUAGAGAGCAGGAGAGGGCGGUGGAACUCCAUGUGUAGCGGUAAAAUGCGUAGAUAUAUGGAAGAACACCAGUGGCGAAGGCGGCCGCCUGGCCUGUUACUGACGCUGAGGCACGAAAGCGUGGGGAGCAAAU
rnacentral:rRNA from 1 species